rnacentral:misc_RNA from 1 species
AUCUCCAAAGCAUCAACAUGCCUUUCAAUAGACUUAAGACAUAAUAUUUGUGUAAUAAUUCUUAAAUUAUGUAAUAUGAGAGAGAUUAUUCAGCAUAUCCAGAGUACAUAUCCUCUAAUUAACAAUUAUAUGGGAUCUUUCCCAUAUUUCAAAGAAAAAUUAUAUUUUGAUAAGAGCAAUGCACCGGUUGUAUUCUAAAAUUUGCCGAUCAUUAGUUGUGUGAGAAGUAAUUAAUAACAGGAAUAUCCUUUGCAGCUUCAGGACGAAUGUCUUCCAUGACUUUCUCUUGGCCCUUAGGAUAAAAAAUCCCGGUCCUGCCAUGAGGAACCCAACAGCAACUCCCAUCAUCUCCCAAAUGUCUUUUUUUCAUCUUCAUUUCUUCACCAUCCACCUUAUUGCUCGUCUCUCGCAAAGUAUGAUCAGAAGAAGAAUUACCAGUGCUCUUCCUAUGGUAGGCUUUCCGAAUCAUCAUCGGCUUGGAAAACAUGGAGGGUGCUCCUCUGGAAAAUGCAGCUGUGGACAUAUCUUUCACUCUUCAAGUUGGUGCUGUGUAGAUACAGAUGAUGAUGAAGAUGAAUUUAUACGGCAACAAGUGUUAUCCAUAUCUCUCUUUUCUAUGGAGAUUUGGUUUGCACUUACGUCAUUUUCUU